rnacentral:rRNA from 1 species
UACAGAGGGGGCAAGCGUUGUUCGGAAUUACUGGGCGUAAAGGGCGCGUAGGCGGCCUGUUAAGUCGAACGUGAAAUCCCCGGGCUCAACCCGGGAACUGCGUCCGAUACUGGCAGGCUUGAAUCCGGGAGAGGGAUGCGGAAUUCCCAGUGUAGCGGUGAAAUGCGUAGAUAUUGGGAGGAACACCGGUGGCGAAGGCGGCUACCUGGACCGGUUCUGACGCUGAUGCGCGAAAGCGUGGGUAGCAAACAGG